AUCAGAGCAAUCUCUGAUGUCCAUCAUUACAGGCAGAGGUCAGCUGCUGAUAGCAGCCAGCAUAUCGCAUAUCCCACGCAGACAUGUCCGCUCACCCGAACCAUGGCGUACAUAUAUGUCAUGGGUCGGGAAGGGGUUAAGCCACGCCCACCGAAAUUAUCGGCUGAAAAUUCCCUUGGCCAAAAAAGCCAAAGGCCCAUUUUCGGCGGCCUAAAUUUCGGUGCACCCCUAAUAAUAACCAAAUUAAAAGCAUGGAAUGUAAGUGUGUGUAUUUCUGCACAUGGUACUCAUACUCUAUACUGAAUGAAAUGUUUUAAAUGUAUUAUUAUUCUUCCGCACCGGAAGAAGCAUCAGUUGAUUCAAAACUAGCUGGUUGUCUAGAUAUCUCCCCACCGUUACACACCAUCUCCUUCUCCCCUGAGCACAGCCCUGAUGUCGAUUGACUGCAUGCACUACUCCUUUCUUGGAAGAUAAGACUGCAAUAAAGACAAGCUUGAAGGUGCAUUCCACGACCCUAUGUGUGUCAGGCUUUAUCGAAACCAGCGUCUAACACCAGCCUCUAUGCCAGUGCAGGAGUUUUCUGGAUUGAUCAAGCAUGCCUCUUGAUGAGGCCACCAGAUGCAUGACUGUUAUGGACAUUAUUCCCUCAAGCUCUUCCAUGGUAACGUUCUCCUUGAUCUAAAGCUGAAAGGUGACAACAAGUGUGACAACGAGUCUUCUCGAGGUGAUGGAGCUCAGCUUACCAACUACUUGUGGUACUGUGAAGUGUGUCUGUUACUGAUUCCUGGGAAUAUCAUGGUCUUGAUACCCUU